rnacentral:rRNA from 1 species
UACAGAGGUCCCAAGCGUUGUUCGGAUUCACUGGGCGUAAAGGGCGCGUAGGUGGCCAACUAAGUCAGACGUGAAAUCCCUCAGCUUAACUGGGGAACUGCGUCUGAUACUGGAUGGCUUGAGUUUGGGAGAGGGAUGCGGAAUUCCAGGUGUAGCGGUGAAAUGCGUAGAUAUCUGGAGGAACACCGGUGGCGAAGGCGGCAUCCUGGACCAACACUGACACUGAUGAGCGAAAGCCAGGGGAGCAAACGGG